CUUUGGUCAAACUAAAGGUUAUUAUUUAUUAUUAUUAUUUUUUUGUAUAUGCUGUCACCAAUAUACGUCAUGCUCCACACUCCAGUCCAGUAGGUGGCGGAAAUGCACCUUUUAAGUGGGUUUGCCAACCGCCAUUAAAAAGAAAAGAAGAAGAAGAAGUAGAGGAGCUGCGUUUCAAUUGUUUGGCGCGCAGGUGGUUGACUGUGAGUAGAAGAACAAUCUCUGGGACUACAAAACACGACUGUGGCACUGAGAAGCACCUCAUCCAUCUGCUUCAGAUUUGUUGAACAUGCAAGUAGCCCAAAUGUCUUGCCAUUCUUUUUCGUCAAUAAAAAAGAAACAUGGCUCCUGUGGCAAACUACAUCUAAAGAAUUUCUUCUGCCUCACUGCUCUCUGUAGAAAUAUCAUAGACAGUAUGGCACGGUCACCAUAA
rnacentral:lncRNA from 1 species